rnacentral:rRNA from 1 species
CCUACGGGUGGCAGCAGUAGGGAAUCUUGCGCAAUGGGCGAAAGCCUGACGCAGCAACGCCGCGUGAACGAGACGCCCUUCGGGGUGUAAAGUUCUGUCAGUGGGGACGAAAAAUGACGGUACCUACAGAGGAAGCACUGGCUAACUCCGUGCCAGCAGCCGAGGUAUUACGGAGGGUGCAAGCGUUGUCCGGAAACAUUGGGCGUAAAGAGGUCGUAGGCGGCAUGUAAAGUCAGGUGUUAAAGGCGCAGGCUCAACCUGUGUAUGGCACUGGAUACUUGCAAGCUGGAGUGCGGUAGAGGAAAGUGGAAUUCCUGGUGUAGCGGUGAAAUGCUUAGAUAUCAGGAGGAACAUCGGUGGCGAAGGCGCUUUACUGGGCCGUAAUUGACGCUGAGGAGCGAAAGCGAGGGUAGCAAAUGGGAUUAGAUACCCUAGUAGUC